rnacentral:rRNA from 1 species
CACGUAGGGGGCGAGAGUUAUUCGGAGUUAUUGGGCGUAAAGGGCGCGUAGGCGGCUAGACAAGUCAGGGGUGAAAUCCCUCGGCUCAACCGAGGAACUGCCUUUGAAACUGUCUGGCUUGAGGCCGGGAGAGGGUGGUGGAAUUCCCAGUGUAGCGGUGAAAUGCGUAGAUAUUGGGAGGAACACCAGUGGCGAAGGCGCCCACCUGGACCGGUUCUGACGCUGAGGCGCGAAAGUGUGGAGAGCAAACAGG